rnacentral:lncRNA from 1 species
GUAGUAUUUGGGGAGACCCCACGGCCGAGCCUGAGCAGGACGGGAGCGCGGCGGCGCGGCGGUGGCCCGGAGACACUGGGAAGCUGUGGCUCCUUGACGUGAGGAGGCUGGGGCCUUCCGGUCGUGGGGAGGAGUCUGGGGAGCGCCCAAGCGGAGGUUUUCUCCGAGGACCUUUCUCGCUUCCGGGCCUCACAGGCACAUCUGACACGCCCUGGCUAGUUCCGGGAAGCCGGUAGCUGUGCUGCUAAAAUUCCGGUUGCCCGAGUUACUGCCUGGAAGGUAGUAGUACGCGGAACCUCCAAGUUGGGUGACAGGUAGUUGGAGUGUUGCUGUCCACUCGUGGCUCUACAGCGGUUCUUGGGUCCCCCUGAUGUGACGUCAUAGUAAAGACUCAGUUCCUGAACUCAUCUUGACAAGCACUUCUUGAGGGUCCGGAACAAUGUGACAGUCCUGUUCCUCAAUUAAGGCCAUCAAUUCCUCAAUCACUAAGGGCCUUCCAUAGAUUAGUGCUCAUUACCACAGAGUCCUAGUACCCAGAUUAUAGCGGAGGCACCCGAGACUCUAAAAAUAAAAGUGUAUAUACCUUGUGGUGGCAUACACCUGUCCAGCAUGCACAAAGGCCCCAAUUUCAGUCCCCAGCAAUGGAGCAGAGAGGUUUUCUGAUACAUAAUAAAUCUUACAUUUUAUGUAAAUUACAGUGAUAAUUCCAGGAAACAGUGCAGGCAAACCACAUCUACAAAGACCAAGAGAGACUGCUUAUCUGGAAAUAGUGCAGAAGUGAGCUGGGUUGAUGGAUGGCUAUUUCAACAGAGGAGGAGAGGAAGAUGGCCUUGGGUCAAAACAGAAGGUUCACAAUAGUUACAAGGCUGAAGUUUAAAACUCAAUCAGUAAAUGGGAAGUAUUGGGCAAAUUAGUUAGAGGUCAUGACAAAGCACUUAAUGCCUUUCCAAGACUGGGUUUAUCUUGUUUUGUUUGCUUUAGACUUAAUACCUUGAAAAUAGGACACCAGAGCCAGGAAAGUGUUUUGAAGGAAGUAGAGGCUUAAGAGACCUCCCUCUUCCAGUAACUUGAAGGAUUGGCCAGUCUGAAAAUCUAUUAAAGCUGAACCCUUAAUAGAUACAGUACUUAAGAUAUAGAUUCUGUUUAGAAAUUGCCUUUGAAAAAGUGGAAAAUAUAUAGAUACAUACUUA